rnacentral:rRNA from 1 species
UACAGGGGGUGCAAACGUUGCUCGGAAUCAUUGGGCGUAAAGCGCACGUAGGCGGUUCGUUAUGUCGGAUGUGAAAGCCCUUGGCUUAACCGAGGAAGUGCAUCCGAAACUGGCGAGCUAGAGUACUAAAGAGGAUCGCGGAAUUCCCGGUGUAGAGGUGAAAUGCGUAGAUAUCGGAAGGAACACCUGUGGCGAAAGCGGCUCACUGGACCAUUACUGACGCUGAGGCACGAAAGCUAGGGGAGCAAACAGG